GCAGUCUUGGCCGAGUGGUUAAGGCGACAGACUAGAAUUGGGAGGAUAAGGCUCGAAACUAGUUAUCUGUUGGGGUCUCCCCGCAUAGGUUCGAAUCCUGUAGACUGCG
rfam:Folsomia candida strain VT population Fcan01_Sc020, whole genome shotgun sequence.